AAGAAUCUAAUAUUGGAUCGUACCAAAACACAAGCAUUUGCUUUCUAAAUUGCAUCCAUAAAGAUCACACGGUCAAGUGCUGCCUCUGACAGAGCAUUUACCAAGAUUUUAAGGCUUCACAUUCAGAUCAUUAAAAAUGCCCAUCUGUCUUUUUUAUUUAAUAUGUCAUCAGCUCUCCAAUUUGGAUAAAAUCUGAGAUCCUGCCCCUAUUGAAACUUCCCAGGAUGGUCUGGAUCCAAGCCCUGAACUGGAUGAACUAAGGCAGCAGGUGAAGAUGCCAAUUAGAAGACCUUUCCUUGGAGAUGUCUGCCCUUGCUUUUAGGAAUCUGCUCUAGACUCCUCAAGGUUGUUUCUUUUUAAAGUUGUAUGGAGUACUUGAUAAUGAAGUUCACAUACUUUGAGAAGUUCUCUAGUACUUCUAGAAGCUGGGGCAAGAAGAAAAGCAGACUUAGUUCCGGGGCACAUUGCACAAGAUUCUGAGAACUGUACAGCUCAAGAGUUCUGGAAACCAAACUCCUUCGGGAAUUAAAAAAUUUGGAACAAUAUUUGAAAUAUUUGUGAAGAUGGCAAGUUUUUCUUAUCUUUUGAUACUCAUGCUGGUAGAUCUGAUCUUAAUUUUAAUAAUGCCAUGCUAUUAUAAAUGUAUAAAGGAAUCCAAGGUAUAUGCUGGUGAGAAACUAUAAGAGGAAGUAGCAAUAACUUCAUUUUACAAAUGCUGAAAUUGAAGCAAGUAAAUUUUACUCAUUAUUCCAAAGUUAACACAACAGUGUAGGAUCAUAACCCAGGAUUCCUGACUGUCAGAUUCCUGGCUUACCUAACUGGAUACCUGGUGUCAUAUCUCUCACAAUCUUUUCUUUCUUUCUCUUAGUCUCUCUUUCUUCACACCUUUUUCCUCCCAACCCCUGUAAGAGGCAGGUUUGCAUCAUGGUUAAGAGCAUGGACCUUGGGAUGAGAAAUAUUGGCUCUUCCACUCUCCAGCAGUGUGUCUAAAGGCACUGUCUUUGAUAUUCUAUUGAUUCAUGUUCCUCGUCUAUAAGAAGGGGCUGGUAAUGGUACCUAUUUUAUAUGGCUAUUGCUGAAAACUAAAUAGGCUACUACAGGUAAAAUGUCUUGCCCAGAAGAAGGCCCCCAAUACAUGUUAGAUAUUAUAUAUUUCACAGCCUUUUCUGUGAAGACUUCCUUCCUUCCUGCCUCCUUUUUAUCCACACUUACUAUCAACUCUCUAACCUGUGUUUGUUCCCAUUAGGUACGCCUCUUUCUGGAUCUCCCCUGUAGAAUUUUACCAUAACCCGUGGUCUGUACUUGUUUUCCAAUGAGCAGACAACUUUAGACAGAGAAGUUACAGGACAGGUUGUGAUGAUAACAAGAUCCCCUGGAGCUCGAAGAGGAAGUGUUGAAAAGGACAGGAUUGGAGGCAAGAAGGUUGGUAAAGAGGCAAUGGUAGCUGUGUAACAAGGGCCAGCUCUGGGAGAAUGGCAGUGGGGAUGGAGAACAGGACAACAGGAAAGGGGCAAAAUGAGGAGGCAGAAUCUACAGAAUCUGGUUAUUGAGGGUAGGAGAGAGGAAGAAGUCGAGGAUGAUGUCUGGGUUUCUGACCUAGUUGGGCCUGGACAUAGAGAUUGGAAGGUCAAAGCUGUAGUGGGAACAAUUGCAGGUAAGGGAAUAGGGGAGACUGCCCAGGGGCAGUAGCGUGCAGAGGAAUAAGAGAAGAGGACAAAGGCAGAUUUCUGAGAAGUUUCAACACUUAAGAGCUGGGCAGAGCAAGAAGAGCAUAAAGAAACUUGGAGGAGGAAAAGACUAAAGCAGAGAAAGUGAGGUGAGAUAUAGUGGUAAGACCUGAGAGAGACCGCGCUACAGAGCUAUGAGUUGUACUUUAUCAAGGAGUUAGGUUUUACAAAGGUGUUAAGAAAACAAGAAAUAAAUAUUCACUAAACAUUUGUAGAGGCCCUAAAUUUCUAAGCUUAGAAAUUCCGCCACCCCACCAAUCACAUUAGAAUAGACAGCUUUAUAGAAACAUAAAGCUAAACCUUUAAAUAUCAAAUAAAGCAAUCAAAACAAAAAGGCUAAUAUCAGAUUGAGGAAAAAUGUUUGUGGAUGUUUAUGGUCAGGAAAAUAUCAUCUUUAGAAAAAGAGCUUGUGCAAAUUAUUAAGGAAAAAUCACUAAGAAUAGUACAGAACAAUAAGUAAAAAACUUGGGAUAAUUCACAAAACAGUAAAUAUAACAAGUAAGUAUAUGGGGAAAAGUUUACUGUCACUAAUAGCAAAGAAAUCUAUUUUAGAACAAAGAGAUACUAUUUUCCUUCUAUUAGUUAGCAAAGAAAUUCUUAAAUAACGAUAUUACAAUUCUAGCAAGUAUUUGGUUGAACCAGUAUUCCUAAGGAUUGUUGGCACUCUAUAUUGGUAUAUACUUUUGGGAAAAAUAUUUGUUAGAAUGAAUCUGGAACCACAAAUUGUUCUCGUACACAGUUUUGCUAAUGUCUCCUGAAAAUUCAAAUGAUAGCAUAUGUGUAUAAAUAUUUUUGUUAAAUCACAGAAUUAUAAAAAUUAGAAUUUACCAAUAAAACUUGUUAAGUAACAUCGAAUGUGGCCUAUUAUAAGGCUGUUAUAAGAAAAGGUUAAAAAGAUUAUAUAAAAACCUUCUAAAAUGGUGAUAUAGUAUUUGUGACUUAAAAACAGGAUAUAUAACCAUACGUAUGCUGAAUAUAGCUACAUAGAAUAUGAAUAUUACAAAACUAGAAAGAGUUAUACUAACAUGUUGACAACGGUUGUGUUAUUGUGGUUGGGCUAAGCAUAAUAUUUCUUUUGUUUCCUAUCAUUCCUGCUCUCUUGUUAGAUUGCUUAUAUAACUAAAAUAAAUGUCAUCACUAAAUAGUUA